UACUUAUUUUAACCAAAAACCCUUCAAAAGUUUUCAUUACUUUUGCUUUUGUGGCGCUAAACAUACUCCAUAUUGAACAACAGUGCAGCAGCUGGCAAACUCCGCCCCUCCCCCAACACCACUCACUUUCUGGAAAGUUCUGUGGAUCGGCGCGACGCCAUUUUGUUUUAAUAAUUGACGCUACGCCAUUUUGUUUAAAUAAUUGGCGCCAAUUAUCAGUAGGCUAACAAAACAACAGUUUUGGGUGUGUGUGCUGUCAAUAAUCCUGUACUUCAGCCUGGGUGUGUUUGCAUGAUUGUCCAGCAGGGGGCGGUGUCACUCAAGUCCUCCUGGGAAGUUCGUAUUUACGAGUUGGGAAGUCGUAAUUACAACAUCAGAUUUAUAUAAGUUGUGAUGCAAUGACGGCCAGCGAUCACCAAUUCAGAGGCCCAAGUAUCAGAUCCUGCAAAGGACUCAUGGAACAAAAUCUUCUUUUUUAAACUACAGGAUGUACAUUUAAAAAAAAAAAAAAAAAAGUACAGGUAUAAGCAUGUCACCAAAUGAAAGCUUUCACAUUGUUAAUCGCAUUUAAACUCAUUCAUAAUGUACAAGUUGAACAGACUUUUUAUAAUGAUUACCAGGAAUGUGGAACAGCACCUUUUAUCGUAAUAACAUUAGCUUGUAUAUCAGAUGUUUAUCACAAAGCUGACAUAAAUGUACAUUAGCUUAUAUAUCAGAUGUUUAUCACAGAUCUCACAUAAGUGUUCUUUCAGCUGUAGCCGCCAUUUCUCUCUUCUUUUGUUUGGCUCGUGCCCUCAUGAUUUUUGACUCGGUUCCCCUUCACACAUUAAGCGUUUUGCUGGUACCCUGACUGACGCAACUACCAGCAGUGCUGAUAACUGUUCCACUGCUUGCACAAGUGGCUGAGACACAUCACCGUUUCGAAAGUAAAUGAAUGAGGGAGGGAAAAAAAAACAGCCUCGGUUCUUUAGAGUUCGAACUGGGAUUGUUAUCUUAAUUUUUUCUUAACCACAUAAAAAUCUUUAAUGUGUUAUUGUUUGCUUUGUGUGAAACGUGAUAGAUUGUGUGUUAAUGCAUGCUAAAACACAGGGAUAUCUCAAUCCUUUUUUUUUUUUUUUUUUUGCCCUCGAUAUAGUUAGAUUUAAUGUUGUGGAACAUCUGAGAGACAAGUUAGUUCCUGUUCUCACUUAUGUUAUAGCUGUGAUAAACAGUCAUUCCUUCACCAGCCUUGCUCUUUUUUCCCCUCUUUCUCUCUCACAAUUGAUUCUCUCUCUCUCUCUCUGUCUGUCUCUCUCAAUCUCUCUCAAUCUUGCUCAAAAAAAAAAAAAAAAAAACAGCUUGUAAUUUUAGUAAGAAACUGAAAGUGUAAAAACUGUCCUGCAGACUUUCCUUUGAUAAACUUCACAAGCCACUGUGGCUGUUACAAAGUGCUGACACUGGAGACUCCUUCCAUAAAUGUUAAAUAAAUGUCCCCUAACAAAAAAAAAAAUAUCAUCACAUGAACAAUUAUGAUUUACUUUGUUAAACAACAAGAUUUCAAAUCCAUUUGAUCAUUAUUUUUAGAUUAUCUGGAGCAUCUACUGCACAAGGCCCAGUGUAUGAGCUGUUACUAUAGAAACAAUACCGCAUCAGAACGAGCGCAUUAAUAUAAACCUGGAUUUCACGUUACAGCUGGAGCUACUGUCCGAGCCGUGCUGUUAUACUAAAAUAAUGCACGCCUACUGACCAAUCAGAUUCGAGCAUUCAACCACGCUGUGGUAUAAAACCACAACAACACAACAGUAGUCCACAAACUCUCUAUAUAAUGCACUAGGAGAGUUUUGGUUGCUAAACGGCAUCCAGUGCUCACCCGUCAACGUCACUGUCGUCUGGCGUGUUUCAGUUUUUAUAAUGGCAGGUUAAAGCAGUUGUACUUCUAUGAUAAUUCUCAGAGAACCGUGUAAAAUAUCGAAACGAAAAGAACUGUGUAAAAUAUCGCCUUUCUUCUCCAUCGCAUGAAAAUUACACAGUAAAUAUUGUGUGUAUGAGGAAUAAAUAUGUGUAUAUGAGUGUGUUUGUUAAGUACAGAAGGAUUUUCAGAACCCUGACCUAUAUAGCAACAGUAACUAGGCAUGGAUGGGACUGAGGUUUGGUGACACACACGUUUUUUUUUUGUCUAAAAAUGCAACCAACUAGGUGUGAAUAUAAAUAACAAACAGCAAGUGAGAAGGGAAAUGAGAACAGGAAACGUUGACCAUAUAAGGAAACUAGCAGGAAAGAAUAGGAGUUUGGUGAGUGGCUUAUUUUUAAUUUAAAGUGUGAAAGUUAAAAUAAGUUUCUGUGCGUUUCCGGCUGGAUCAUAUGUACAGGUACGAGCAUGUCAGCAGGUGAAGCAUUUAGUCAGAGGUGCCAUCUUGCACCUGUCUUCAGUCAUUGUGAGCUGAACACGACUUUCAGUUCCUUAGUUUCGUCUUUUAAAUGUGAGAAAAAGUUCUUAAACAGAAGAAAAUGGUGUGAGUUAAUUGGUGAUCGCUAGUAGGUUGUAUUUGAAAAUUCAACAAUGCAGGAAAAUAGUUUAUAUUCUCUAUAUCGUUUAUGUACAGUCUUUUAUAAAUGUAUAUUGAAAGGAAAAACAAAACCAGACAGGAGUUAACCA